rnacentral:rRNA from 1 species
AACGAACGCUGGCGGCAGGCCUAACACAUGCAAGUCGAACGCCCCGCAAGGGGCGUGGCGCACGGGUGAGUAACGCGUGGGAAUAUGCCCUUCGGUUCGGAAUCACACAGGGAAACUUGUGCUAAUACCGGAUACGAUCUACGGAUGAAAGAUUUAUCGCAGACGGAGUAGCCCGCGUAGGAUUAGCUAGUUGGUGAGGUAAUGGCUCACCAAGGCGACGAUGCUUAGCUGGUCUGAGAGGAUGAUCCGCAACACUGGGACUGAGACACGGCCCAGACUCCUACGGGAGGCAGCAGUGGGGAAUAUUGGACAAUGGGCGAAAGCCUGAUCCAUCCAUGCCGCGUGAGUGAUGAAGGCAUUAGGGUUGUAAAGCUCUUUCGCCAGUGAAGAUAAUGACGGUACCUGGAAAAGAAGCCUCGGCUAACUCCGUGCCAGCCGCCGCCGUAA